rnacentral:lncRNA from 1 species
GAAAGUCUGACCGCUCGGGUCGGGUCCAAUACCAUACCUCUACAAGUCCCCCAGUCUAGUGUUGCUCACGAGUGCAAGCGCUGAGAGGAGCACUAGACUUAUUAGGAGUGUUGGGAAAAUGAGGAUUAUUAAUUCUAUGUUUACCUGUCGCCGAGGCGCGAGAGCUUUGCUGGCCAUGUUGCGAGUAGAGAUAAUAUAACAGUGAAUAUCCCACGAUUGUUCGUCGUGGAAAUUGGUUGGUCAAACCUGGCGCAUGCUGAUUGGCUGCAGUCAGUUGCUGUUUGUACUGGCGCAUUACCAUGAGCUUGUUAAGGUUGUGCGUACGUGGUUAGGUCUUGUGCACGAGUCUUGGAACUGGCUGAGUUUUGAUGGUUGAGUGUGGUUAGGGUCCAACGUGCGUAUGAUUGAUGCAGCAUUUGGGACCAUACCACUUCAGGUCCCCCUAGUCCAGUGUUGCUCCCACGCGCGGAUGUAAGUGCAGUUCCUGCAGGGUAACUGUCGCUUAUCAG